rnacentral:tRNA from 1 species
CUGCCCGCGAUGCCGGCGUCCUGCUGCACACGGAUCUCGCGGCCGGCCAGGCUGCGCAGCGUCGGUUCGUCGUCGGG